UACGUAGGGUGCGAGCGUUGUCCGGAAUUAUUGGGCGUAAAGAGCUCGUAGGCGGUUUGUCGCGUCUGCUGUGAAAACCCGAGGCUCAGCCUCGGGCCUGCAGUGGGUACGGGCAGACUAGAGUGCGGUAGGGGAGAUUGGAAUUCCUGGUGUAGCGGUGGAAUGCGCAGAUAUCAGGAGGAACACCAAUGGCGAAGGCAGAUCUCUGGGCCGUAACUGACGCUGAGGAGCGAAAGCAUGGGGAGCGAACAGG
rnacentral:rRNA from 1 species